rnacentral:misc_RNA from 1 species
UCGAAGCUACCAUGCCCA